GAUGAAUGCUGGCGGCGUGCCUAACACAUGCAAGUCGAGCGGCAGCGAGUUUUACACUGAAUUCUGGAAGCUUCUGAGUAGUACAGAAGAUUUAUUCAAGAGUUUUGUGUAAAAUGUCGGCGAGCGGCGGACGGCUGAGUAACGCGUAGGAAUUCGCCCCAAAGUGAGGAAUAACUGCCCGAAAGGGUAGCUAAUGCCGCAUAUGGUCUUCGGAUUAAAGCCUUCGGGCGCUUUGGGAGAAGCCUGCGUUGGAUUAGGUAGUUGGUAGGGUAAUGGCCUACCAAGCCGACGAUCCAUAGCUGGUCUGAGAGGAUGAUCAGCCAGACUGGAACUGAGACACGGUCCAGACUCCUACGGGAGGCAGCAGUGAGGAAUCUUCCACAAUGGGCGAAAGCCUGAUGGAGCAACGCCGCGUGAAGGAUGAAGGCCUUCGGGUUGUAAACUUCUUUUAUGAGUGAAGAAUAUGACGGUAACUCAUGAAUAAGCACCGGCUAACUACGUG
rnacentral:rRNA from 1 species